rnacentral:rRNA from 1 species
AUUGAACGCUGGCGGCAGGCCUAACACAUGCAAGUCGAGCGGAGCGGCGGACGGGUGAGUAAUGUCUAGGAAUCUGCCUGGUAUUGGGGGAUAACGUCCGGAAACGGGCGCUAAUACCGCAUACUAUCAGAUGAGCCUAGGUGGGAUUAGCUCGUUGGUGGGGUAAAGGCCUACCAAGGCGACGAUCCGUAACUGGUCUGAGAGGAUGAUCAGCCACACUGGAACUGAGACACGGCCCAGACUCCUACGGGAGGCAGCAGUGGGGAAUAUUGGACAAUGGGCGAAAGCCUGAUCCAGCCAUGCCGCGUGUGUGAAGAAGGUCUUCGGAUUGUAAAGCACUUUCAGUUGGGAGGCGUUACCAACAGAAUAAGCACCGGCUAACUCCGUGCCAGCAGCCGCGGUAAUAC